rnacentral:siRNA from 1 species
UGGUGUGUUUGAUGCAUGGCCUA